rnacentral:rRNA from 1 species
AGAGUUUGAUCCUGGCUCAGGAGAAGAGGGCGACGUGCCUAAUACAUGCAAGUCGAGCGGAUCAAAGGGAGCUUGCUCCCUUUGAUCAGCGGCGGACGGGUGAGUAACACGUGGGUAACCUGCCUGUAAGACUGGGAUAACUCCGGGAAACCGGGGCUAAUACCGGAUAACUCAGUUCCUCGCAUGAGGAACUGUUGAAAGGUGGCUUUUCGCUACCACUUACAGAUGGACCCGCGGCGCAUUAGCUAGUUGGUGAGGUAACGGCUCACCAAGGCGACGAUGCGUAGCCGACCUGAGAGGGUGAUCGGCCACACUGGGACUGAGACACGGCCCAGACUCCUACGGGAGGCAGCAGUAGGGAAUCUUCCGCAAUGGACGAAAGUCUGACGGAGCAGCGCCGCGUGAGUGAAGAAGGUUUUCGGAUCGUAAAGUUCUGUUGUGAGGGAAGAACAAGUACCGUGCGAAUAGAGCGGUACCUUGACGGUACCUCACGAGAAAGCCCCGGCUAACUACGUGCCAGCAGCCGCGGUAAUACGUAGGGGGCAAGCGUUGUCCGGAAUUAUUGGGCGUAAAGCGCGCGCAGGCGGUUCCUCAAGUCUGAUGUGAAAGCCCACGGCUCAGCCGUGGAGGGUCAUUGGAAACUGGGGAACUUGAGGACAGAAGAGGAGAGUGGAAUUCCACGUGUAGCGGUUGAAAUGCGUAGAUAUGUGGAGGAACACCAGUGGCGAAAGCGACUCUCUGGUCUGUUUCUGACGCUGAGGUGCGAAAGCGUGGGUAGCAAACAGGAUUAGAUACCCUGGUAGUCCACGCCGUAAACGA